GAGGGUGUAAGGAAGACAAGUGAGGGAUGGGUGGGAGGAGAAGCUGGAGGUGUAGAAGCAGGUGCAGAGGGAGAGUUAGGGAGGGAUGCAAUUUGAGAGAAGUGGAAGGCGGACCGAGGGGUGUGUGAGGGCAGAUUUGCCUGAAGACCUGGAUAAUCUCCAUUUUUGUCAUGGACUGUUAAAACGUUUGAAGUUCCAAUUCUGGUCUUGAUUUCCCAGUUAAGGAUGUUCUUCACCCGAAUGCAGUCUUUCCUGUUGGUAAAAUAAGACAACCAUCAACAUUGCCUGUUUGUCUGCUUUUGAAUCUCUUAAGGAUGGAUGUUUGUAAAAUGUUGCUUAAUACAGUCUGGAAUACUCUGUCCAUUUGUUGAAUUGUAAAUGACUUUCAAAUGUGCAAGUUCUGUUAAAUACAAAGAGAACCUCUAUGGGUAACUUUUGUGUUGAAGAAGGCAUUUGUCAACCAUGGUAAAACUUGCAAACCCACUUUAUACAGAGUGGAUUCUUGAAGCUAUACAGAAAAUAAAAAAGC
rnacentral:sRNA from 1 species